rnacentral:rRNA from 1 species
UGGGGGAAAGCUGGGGAUCUACUGACCUUGUUCUAUGGUUGGGGAUGAUAUCGGAUUAGCUAGUUGGUGGGGUAACGGCUCGGCUCGCGACGAUCCGUAGCUGGUUUGAGAGGACGACCAUGAACACUGGGACUGAGACUCAGACCAGACUCCUACUGGAGGCAGAGGUGGGGAAUUUUGGACAAUGGGGGAAACCCUGAUCCAGAUGUCCCGCGUGUGCGAUGAAGGCCUUCGGGUUGUAAUUGACUUUUGGCAGGAAAGAAACAUUCCGGGUUAAUACCCCGGGAAACUGACGGUACCUGCUAAAUACGCACCGGCUAACUACGUGCCACCAGCCGCGGUAAUACGUUCGGUGCUUGCGGUAAUCGGAAUUACUGGACGCAAAGCGUGCGCACGGCGUUCGGAUCCAAAGAUGUGAACUCCCGCCUCUUAACUUUGCAACUGCACUUUUAACUACCGAGCUAGAUUGUGUCACAGGGAGGUGGAAUUCCACGUGUAGCAUAUGAAAUGCGUAGAUAUGCGGAGGAACACCGAUGGCGAACGCAGCCUCCUGGGAUAACACUGACGCUCAUGCACGAAACGCGUGUGGAUCAAACAGGAUUACAUACCCUGGUAGUCCACGAACUAAACGAUGUCACUAUC